AUGGGAAGAAGACCGUGACGGUACCAAUUGAAUAAGCCCCGGCUAACUACGUGCCAGCAGCCGCGGUAAGACGUAGGGGGCAAGCGUUACCCGGAAUCACUGGGCGUAAAGGGAGCGUANGCGGUUAUGCAGGUCAUACGUUAAAGCAUUCGGCUCAACCGAAGAGAUGCGUAUGAAACCGUAUAACUUGAGGAUAUCAGAGGAAAAGGGAAUUACCAUUGUAGGGGUGAAAUCCGUAGAGAGUGGUAAGAAUGCCGGUGGCGAAGGCGCUUUUCCGGGGUAUACCUGGCGCUGAGGCUCGAAAGCCAGGGGAGCGAACCGGAUUAGAUACCCGGGUAGUCCUGGCCGUAAACGAUGUUCACUAGGUGUAGGAUGUCGACAGGCAAACUGUGCUGAAGCAAACGCGAUAAGUGAACCGCCUGGGGAGUACGUCCGCAAGGAUGAAACUCAAAGGAAUUGACGGGGGCCCGCACAAGCGGUGGAGCGUGUGGUUUAAUUCGAAGCUAAGCGAAGAACCUCACCAGGUCUUGACAUAUAGGUAGUAGGGAAGCGAAAGCGGACCGACUUUAGUUUACUAGAGAGCCUAUACAGGUGGUGCAUGGUCGUCGUCAGCUCGUGCCGUGAGGUGUUGGGUUUAAGUCCCGCAACGAGCGCAACCCUUGUUUUUAGUUGCCAGCAUUAAGGUGGGCACUCUAAAGAGACUGCCGUCGAAGAGACGGAGGAAGGAGGGGACGACGUCAGAUCAUCAUGCCCCUUAUGAUCUGGGCUACACACGCGCUACAAUGGGUUAGACAGAAGGCGAAACUGCAAAGUGGAGGGAAUCCUAAAACUAACCCCCAGUUCAGAUUGUAGGCUGAAACCCGCCUACAUGAAGUGGGAAUCGCUAGUAAUCGCAGAUCAGAACGCUGCGCUGAAUACGUUCCCGGGCCUCGUACACACCGCCCGUCACACCACCCGAGUUGGG
rnacentral:rRNA from 1 species